rnacentral:pre_miRNA from 1 species
AGAUUCUUUGCAGAUGACCUCGAAAUGCGUGCAACUCGGGAUGCUUGCAACUCGGAAUGCGUGAAAAUUCGAUUGUGAAUUGAAAUUUGAGGGUAAAGAAUCGCGUCGAGCCAAUUUCAUCCAUUUCGAUGGCCGAGAACCCUUCAUUCGACGCGAUUUUUUACCCCUAAAAUUCAACUCACUAUUGAAUUUUCACGCAUUCCGAGUUGCAAGCACUCCGAGUUGCACGUAUUUCGAGGUCACCUGCAAAGAAUCU